UAUUAUCUACGUACACCUUUAAAAUGAAGUGAAACUUCUCAACUUGAAGUAGUUUAUGCUCUCUUUUCCCUUCCAACCAAAGAAAACUUCUCAAGCAGCCAUAAGAACGAUGCCCUUUCACCUUCUGCUAUGUAUUUCUAAAUUCAGAACAUGACACAGGUGGUAGGAGACAUUAAGAGUUCUGUUUGUGUUCGUCCCUGAUUCUCUUAAUGCGUUGCGUAAUUUUGUGUUUUUUUCUACUCGAUUGUAUUACGAUCUGAGAUGGACUGAUCGGAGAAGAUUAGAAAGUUUAUUUGUUAAAUUUCUAUACAAGAUCGGUAUACAUACUCGAAUAGAUUGUGAUUUUUUUCCCCUCUUUGUUUCCGUUUUCUUGGUUCGAUCAUCUACUUCUUUGGGAUGGUCAGUUCUGUUUGUGUUCGUCCCUGAUUCUCUUAAUGUGUUGCAUAAUUUUGUGUUUUUUUCUACUCGAUUGUAUUACGAUCUGAGAUGGACUGAUCGGAGAAGAUUAGAAAGUUUAUUUGUUAAAUUUCUAUACAAGAUCGGUAUACAUACUCGAAUAGAUUGUGAUUUUUUUCCCCUCUUUGUUUCCGUUUUCUUGGUUCGAUCAUCUACUUCUUUGGGAUGGUCAGUUCUGUUUGUGUUCGUCCCUGAUUCUCUUAAUGUGUUGCAUAAUUUUGUGUUUUUUUCUACUCGAUUGUAUUACGAUCUGAGAUGGACUGAUCGGAGAAGAUUAGAAAGUUUAUUUGUUAAAUUUCUAUACAAGAUCGGUAUACAUACUCUAAUAGAUUGUGAAUUUUUUCCCCUCUUUGUUUCCGUUUUCUUGGUUCGAUCAUCUGCUUCUUUGGGAUGGUCAGUUCUGUUUGUGUUCGUCCCUGAUUCUCUUAAUGCGUUGCGUAAUUUUGUGUUUUUCUCUACUCGAUUUUGAGUUAUGCUUUGUUAGUCUCUGAUUCUCUUAAUUCGUUGCAUAAUUUGGUGGUUUUCUUCUAAUCGAUGGUGAUUUCUCAUACAAUAUGGUGACUUUUCUGGUUUUGAUUCUUUUACGCAGCAGCUCCUUACACAGAAAAUGCUUAUUUUUAUUACUAUUAUUUUUAUUUGCUGUUGAACCUAAGGAGGGAGCACCGACUCGGAAGGCUCAAUAUCUCACAAACAUGUUUUGUGCAGCUAUUGCAAUCAGUAUGUUGACCGAGAUGCUUUGAUGUACCUCAUUUUGGCCAAUGAAAUACUGCACGUUCUACAUCCAAAUAUAAUAACAAUUGCUGAGGAUUCAACAGAUUGACGAAUGGAUGCAACAAGGACCUCUCAAAUCAUCUGAUCAUGAAGUAUUGGGUCAUCUUCUGAAUGACUUAGCAUUGGCCUCCCAACACCAAAGGCAGCAGAUUUUCUUGGUUCGAUCAUCUGCUUCUUUGGGAUGGUGAGUUUUGUUUGUGUUUGUCCUUGAUUCUCUUAAUGCGUUGCGUAAUUUUGUGUUUUUUUCUACUCGAUUGUGAGUUCUGCUUUGUUAGUCUCUGAUUCAUGUUCUCAUUUAUUUUCAUUAGUUUUUGUCUUAAUCCAUAAGUUUUACAAAAUUAUAUUAAUAUUAAUUCUUUAAAAAAACUAAUUUUGAUACAUUUGACAUGUAUUUUUAAAUCGGAUUUUAUAUGAAAGUUCUUUUACCAAAAAUAUUAUCUAUUUACUACAGCAUAAUUGAUA